UUUAUUUUUAGCUGAAAAGACGUAAAGGCAGUCAGCCCAGUGGUGUUUCUGGAGAGGGAUUCCUUCAUAAAUGGAGAAGACAGAAAGCUGCGGAGGCAGAUAUUUGCAGCAUGUUCGAGUGAGCAUGAUGACCACGAGUGUGUGUCGAACUUUUCAUGACCUGAUGACUGUGUUUCCCAAUCCUGAUCCUGGAGAACCCCAGCACUGCACGGUUUUGGUGUCUCUCUUAUCUGCCUUGGAGUCUUCACUGAUGAGCUGAUGAGUUGAAUCAGGUGUGUUUGAUCAGGGAGACAUCUCAAAUGUGCAGUGUUGGGCUUCUCCAGGACCAGGAUUGGGAGCCACUGCCUUAUGGGACACUUAUGUGUUUAAAGAGAUUUUUAAUAUCUAAUUAUCAAUAUUUCACAUACUGUACAUUGGACAGCUUUCCAUGACCUCUUGUGAGAUCUCGGCAAAAAGUCUGACGAUUUAUUCCAAAACAUGAUGCAUGAUGGGAUACACUAAGCUUUGUAUAGCGCUCCAGAGCAGUAUUGGAGAGGUUUAGUGUGUGUUAAGGACGCUGUGCUUUGGCAUUAUUAAGACCGGGGACAGUCUUGUGCACACACUGUCACGUACACACACUCUCAAGUGGCCAAGACUGCAAGUGUGGGUAUCUGGACAGGGUCAAAGUCUUAAAAAUGAUCCCUAAACACAUCACAGUCUUAAUAAUCCAGUUUAACACUUGUAUGAUAUUGUACAAGCCCCAGGACGGUCUCAUCUGACACUAUCAAAGAAUUCAUAUGACUAUAGCUUGUUAUUAAUUACUUGCUUUCAAUAAUGGAUUCAUUUAACAUUUAAUUAUACAGCAUCUUUACAGAGGUGUAAUGUACAAGCUGCACGUAAUUAAUAAUAUGUCCUUCCUUCUGUCUUACAGGAUUUUUUCCAGAUAAUGCUGUUCUUCUUUUUCAGGUCUAAAAUAUCGAGCUCAACAGCUAUUUUAAGAGCCAACCCUCACAAACCUUCCUAAAACCUAAAAGAGCUAUUACUGAGUCUCAGCGAAUCUUGCCACGAUCAGCUCUUCCCAGAAGAGAAGGAAGACCAAGGAUAUGAUUUGCUCAGGAUGAGGAUUGAAGAUGGCCAUCUUGAGCUCAAACAAACAGAAGUCCUCUGGUAUGUGUGUGUUGAAGCAAUGUUAUACAACAUUUUAUGAUGAUCUCUCACAGAACUGGUCAUGUCAGCCUUGAUUUCGUUUUAUACUAUUACAAUUACAGCAUGUUAGCAAAGUGUGACUGGACAUUUUUAAUAUUAUGUUUUUAAAAACACACCACCUGUUUUAUUAGCAGACAAGUGUCAUGAAAUUGGUUUAGUUGAUAUAAACACCAAUUGACAUUAUUUCAUUGUUUUGUAAAUGUUAUGUUAUUAAUUGUGAAUUGAUAGUUGAUUGGUUUGAAGCCAGGCCUUACACUGCACAGACUAAAACACAUUUGUGAGAGAAGUCAGGAACUUUGGAGAAAGAUUCUAGAGGAAAAAAACACAUUUACUGCAACAACAGAUGAAUUCUAGAGUCUCUGAGAACUACACAUGCUAAUGUCUCAUGAGCAAGACCUUUGCUUCUGUAACUUUUUCUUAAUUCUUGCAGAAUGACAUAUUUAUUGCAGUAUUUUUAUUUGUACAGAUGAUCUCAUCAGCCAAAUGAGGGGUUUUGACCAAGUGAUCCUCUUGAAAGGAGUGAAAGAAGAGGAUGUGGUAAAUUGUCUUCAGAGAAAAAGCUUCUCAAAAGAUCUUAAAACAGCUUGAAGAAUGGUCUGGGAUGUUAGGACUGAGAGAUCAUCUGGCUGAGAACAAGCUACACCUCAUCAGUGCUGGACAUCAACCACAAACUGUUUCCAGACACGAGAGAAGAAGAUCACGAUGGGGAGAUGAAACCAGUUUAGAUGUGAUGAUGGGAAUCAUUAUUUUCUGAAA